rnacentral:rRNA from 1 species
AUUGAACGCUGGCGGCAGGCCUAACACAUGCAAGUCGAGCGGUAGAGAGAAGCUUGCUUCUCUUGAGAGCGGCGGACGGGUGAGUAAUGCCUAGGAAUCUGCCUGGUAGUGGGGGAUAACGUUCGGAAACGGACGCUAAUACCGCAUACGUCCUACGGGAGAAAGCAGGGGACCUUCGGGCCUUGCGCUAUCAGAUGAGCCUAGGUCGGAUUAGCUAGUUGGUGAGGUAAUGGCUCACCAAGGCGACGAUCCGUAACUGGUCUGAGAGGAUGAUCAGUCACACUGGAACUGAGACACGGUCCAGACUCCUACGGGAGGCAGCAGUGGGGAAUAUUGGACAAUGGGCGAAAGCCUGAUCCAGCCAUGCCGCGUGUGUGAAGAAGGUCUUCGGAUUGUAAAGCACUUUAAGUUGGGAGGAAGGGUUGUAGAUUAAUACUCUGCAAUUUUGACGUUACCGACAGAAUAAGCACCGGCUAACUCUGUGCCAGCAGCCGCGGUAAUACAGAGGGUGCAAGCGUUAAUCGGAAUUACUGGGCGUAAAGCGCGCGUAGGUGGUUUGUUAAGUUGGAUGUGAAAUCCCCCGGGCUCAACCUGGGAACUGCAUUCAAAACUGACUGACUAGAGUAUGGUAGAGGGUGGUGGAAUUUCCU